rnacentral:rRNA from 1 species
CAGCCGCCGCGGGAAUACGAAGGGGGCUAGCGUUGCUCGGAAUGACUGGGCGUAAAGGGCGCGUAGGCGGAUUGUUUAGUUAGGCGUGAAAUUCCUGGGCCUAACCUGGGGACUGCGCUUAAUACAGGCAGUCUAGAGUGAGGAAGAGGGUUGUGGAAUUCCCAGUGUAGAGGUGAAAUUCGUAGAUAUUGGGAAGAACACCGGUGGCGAAGGCGGCAACCUGGUCCAUAACUGACGCUGAGGCGCGGAAGCGUGGGGAGCAAACAGGAUUAGAUACCCCCGUAGUCCCUGUCUCUUAUAC